rnacentral:lncRNA from 1 species
CCCCAAACCAUUUAAAAUUAAAAUUAAAUUAAAAAAAACUUCAAAUUACACCUCUAUGAUUUCACACUUUCUCAUUUAGUAUCUUAUAGUUUAAAGUAUAUCAACUUUUUAUUCUGUGAUUUUAUUUUUAUCUUUUUAUUAUCGAUUCUACUAAUUUUUUUAUUAAAUUAAUGACAAAGUUAAAACUAAUCGGUAUUAAAGUGAAUAUUCGAUAAACGUAGAUGAGGUAUCUGAAGUUUUUUGUAUAUAAUUUAAUGAAAUAUUAACGAAAAUGGUGACGAAAAGAUAAAAAUGAAAUCACGGGAUAUUAACUUGUUACACUUUAAAUUACAAAGUAUUAAAGUAAAAAAAUAGAAAAUUAUAGGGGUGGUUUCUAAAGUUUACCCUAAAUUAAAACCACAUCUCUCUCUAUAUAUACACACACGCACNAAUUAUAAACAAUUCAAAAAUUAAGAUUUAAUUUAUUGAUUAUAUUUUAUAAUAUUUGAAAUAUUUAUGUAUUAAAAAUUAUAAACUUUAAAUACAUUUAUUAAAGUAAAAUUAUAUAUUUUUUUUGACUUGAUCUACGAUGCACCAGAUAUAUGAAAUACACCAAAUGGACACCUGUCCCACAAACAAAAAUCCCACACGGACUUUAGUAUAUAGUAAUGGCCGUAGAAAAUUAUGUGUAAGCAACUCUUAUCCUUUUCUUCUUUUUUUUUUGUACCACGUGGCGCUCAGACGUGCGUCCAACUCGUCCGAACGAGAUACAUGGUCGGACUCUUUCCGAGGUUUCGUUAACACGUUCCCGUGCGGGGCCCACAUGAUGUUUGUGACGUGUCCUGUGUGGGCCCCGCGUGAGCUUUGAGAUGGCACUCUGAUGGCCACGUAUACCACUUAUGGCGCACGUUAGGACACAUUCAAAUUGUACCCCAAAGUAUUCCCUUUCUCCGUACUAUUUAGACUUCGUUUAGGAUUGCUGGGAGAAUGCGUUACGUGCGGUGAGAAACGACGAUGGAAAAAUACCUCGUUUGUUUCCAUACGUAAUAUUGCGUUCCGCAUAUCGCGAUGAGUCGAUUAUGAUAUAUUUUUCGCGGUCUCACCGGAGAACGCAGAAGCAUCUCCCUAUAUACUUUUUUCUCAACUCCAUUUUAUCUAAUAGCGUUAGAUAAAUCUCAAUACCAAACUAAGCCUUAGUGCGAUUCAUGAGGAUUAUGAGUUGGAUUAUUUAGCACCAAUCUUAGAUUAUAAAAAAAAUGUGGGUCCGUACAUGUUCAAUUAUAAUUUGAUAUUGAAAAGUAUAAAAAAUAAAAAAUUAUUACUGAACUAAUCUUGAAAACUUAUGACACUCGUAAUUAAUUCAUACAGUGAAACGAAAUAACAUAACUACUAAAUUCGUAUAUGCGAACUAAUGACUUUGUCUUAUGCCGAGAUAAUGUUAGCAAUAACUAACACUGAAUUGAUUUUUAAUUUACACAUAUCUUAUCGCUUUGUCCCUAAUAAUUUUAAAGUGAGAAACACUUUUGUGGGUACGUUUUGGAGUACGCGAAACAUGCUCCAAACACACCACACACCCGGUGGGCCCUAGAAGGUACCCGAAGGUGUCCCCAAACCAUUUAAAAUUAAAAUUAAAUUAAAAAAAACUUCAAAUUACACCUCUAUGGUUUCACAGUUUUUCAUUUUAGUAUCUUAUAGUUUAAAGUAUAUCAACUUUCUGUUCUGUGAUUUUAUUUUAUCUUUUUAUUAUCGAUUCUACUAAUUUUUUUAUUAAAUUAAUGAUAAAGUUAAAACCAAUCGGUAUUAAAGUGAAUAUUCGAUAAACGUAGAUGAGGUAUCUGAAGUUUUUUGUAUAUAAUUUAAUGAAAUAUUAACGAAAAAGGUGACGAAAAGAUAAAAAUGAAAUCACAGGAUAUUAAUUUGGUACACUUUAAAUUAUAAAGUAUUAAAGUAAAAAAUAGAAAAUUAUAGGGGUGGUUUUUAAAGUUUAUCCUAAA